AUUGAACGCUGGCGGCGGGCUUAACACAUGCAAGUCGAGCGGAGAUGAGGUGCUUGCACCUUAUCUUAGCGGCGGACGGGUGAGUAAUGCUUAGGAAUCUGCCUAUUAGUGGGGGACAACAUUCCGAAAGGAAUGCUAAUACCGCAUACGCCCUACGGGGGAAAGCAGGGGAUCUUCGGACCUUGCGCUAAUAGAUGAGCCUAAGUCGGAUUAGCUAGUUGGUGGGGUAAAGGCCUACCAAGGCGACGAUCUGUAGCGGGUCUGAGAGGAUGAUCCGCCACACUGGGACUGAAACACGGCCCAGACUCCUACGGGAGGCAGCAGUGGGGAAUAUUGGACAAUGGGCGGAAGCCUGAUCCAGCCAUGCCGCGUGUGUGAAGAAGGCCUUUUGGUUGUAAAGCACUUUAAGCGAGGAGGAGGCUACCUGGAUUAAUACUCUAGGAUAGUGGACGUUACUCGCAGAAUAAGCACCGGCUAACUCUGUGCCAGCCGCCGCGGUAACAC
rnacentral:rRNA from 1 species